rnacentral:lncRNA from 12 species
CCAUCUCUGGACAUCAGAAACGGAAGACUUAGUGGUUACAGACGCCUCGUGGGGACAGGGGCUGGCUGGUGGCGAGGCUCACACUUGCUCUGAAGUGGGACAGAGUUGGGUGGAGGUCAGGCGGGCCAGGGGCACACCUUUGGUGCUAUUGCUGAAGACCUCAGGCCUCCACUGGUGCACCUAAUGUCUCUGUCUUCGCUGCAGCAGCUUGUCCUUGACCAGGUGUGGAGGACACACUUACAGCCUUUGAAGACUCACACGAAGGGAGUAUAGCAGAGGAACCAAGGGAUAGAUUGCAGAGCCGACGGCAGGAUCGCAGCUCUGCUGGUUACUUGUGGUACUUGUUUCUGAGUAUGGAGUUGGUACUCAGUAAAUGUUAAAUAAGUGGUCAUUUCUUUUUCUUUUUAUUCUCGACUAGAUGCUGCUGGGCCUCAGGUCACAGCCCCACAGAGCCUUCAUUGAAAAAGAGGAGGCAGGUUCAUGGACACUGGAAAUACUUAGAGCCUGUUGAGGAGAAGCCUGUGAAGGGGCACAUCAGCCCAGAAGGAGAAAGCAUGUGGAGCAGCCGUGUGGGGCCCAAGCCUAUGAGCCUACGUUUCCAUAUGAAGGAAGUGCUCUUGGACUAUGCAGUCCUUGGGUGAAGAGCAGGUGACAGGGAAAAGUCUGUCACGUCUGGGCUUCUGAUGAGUGGCCUUCCAGGGAAUACCUCUGUCCCUGGUGUGAUAGGCUUGUGCUGACCCCCACCCCAGUCCAUAAAGGUGCCUGCAGUGGCUGACCCAGGUAAGUGAGCCCAGCUCAGGAGUAAAUUCCAGUAUGUAGCACACAGCUCAUAAAUACAUUUAGAUGUUGAAAAUCUUCCUUAAUGUUAGGUCAAUUGAGUUAAGACAAGUUUGGGU